rnacentral:rRNA from 1 species
GACGUAGGGCGCGAGCGUUGUCCGGAUUUAUUGGGCGUAAAGAGCUCGUAGGCGGCUUGUCGCGUCGACUGUGAAAACCCGCGGCUCAACUGCGGGCCUGCAGCCGAUACGGGCAGGCUAGAGUUCGGUAGGGGAGACUGGAAUUCCUGGUGUAGCGGUGAAAUGCGCAGAUAUCAGGAGGAACACCGGUGGCGAAGGCGGCUUUCUGGACAGAUACCGACGCUGAGGCACGAAAGCUAGGGGAGCAAACAGG